rnacentral:snoRNA from 1 species
AUGCAGUGAUGACCCGAAUUUCUUCACCUGACAAAUACUGUGAUGCUUUAUGAGCUUUUUAACCCUGAGCAAA